UCAAUGUCUCACUAGGAGAUUGUCAUAUAGCUGCAUUUUUUACUUUAAGCAGCAACUGAUGGAAACACUUGUGAGCCAACAAACUUAGAUGCAGAAACAGCAGAAUGAAAUGCAGAGCCUGCUUAAAUCUCUAAACACAACUGGAAGCUAGGCAGCAAGACAAAUGCUACUAUGUCAGAUUUUGUGCAAAAUUCACAGCUACUAAGUGGACUCAAGAAGGAUGAAGAUAAAGCUUCUUUUUUGGCUCG